rnacentral:tRNA from 1 species
ACAUUGGUGGUUCAGUGGUAGAAUUCUCACCUUCCAUGUGGGAGAUCCAGGUUUGAUUCCCAGCCAAAGCA